UGGGCAACCUGCCCUCAGCUCUGGGAUAACUCCGGGAAACCGGGGCUAAUACCGGAUACGACCUUCCCUGGCAUCGGGGUUGGUGGAAAGUUCUUCGGCUGAGGAUGGGCCCGCGGCCUAUCAGCUUGUUGGUGGGGUGACGGCCUACCAAGGCGACGACGGGUAGCCGGCCUGAGAGGGCGACCGGCCACACUGGGACUGAGACACGGCCCAGACUCCUACGGGAGGCA
rnacentral:rRNA from 1 species